rnacentral:rRNA from 1 species
AUUGAACGCUGGCGGCAGGCUUAACACAUGCAAGUCGAGCGGGGUGAUGGCGCUUGCACUAUCACUUAGCGGCGGACGGGUGAGUAAUGCUUAGGAAUCUGCCUAUUAGUGGGGGACAACAUCUCGAAAGGGAUGCUAAUACCGCAUACGUCCUACGGGAGAAAGCAGGGGAUCACUUGUGACCUUGCGCUAAGAGAUGAGCCUAAGUCGGAUUAGCUAGUUGGUGGGGUAAAGGCCUACCAAGGCGACGAUCUGUAGCGGGUCUGAGAGGAUGAUCCGCCACACUGGGACUGGGACACGGCCCAGACUCCUACGGGAGGCAGAAGUGGGGAAUAUUGGACAAUGGGGGGAACCCUGAUCCAGCCAUGCCGCGUGUGUGAAGAAGGCCUUAUGGUUGUAAAGCACUUUAAGCGAGGAGGAGGCUCUUUUGGUUAAUACCCAAGAUGAGUGGACGUUACUCGCAGAAUAAGCACCGGCUAACUCUGUGCCAGCCGCCGCCGUAA